CGAUGAACAGUUUGGGAAAUUACUGGAGAAAGUUGCAGUCUACCACGACCACUAGCUUGACCUAUGCAUGGGAGCAACUCAUGAAGUCUGUUAUUUGUGUGUCUAGAAAUCGGUCAUUGCAUUUAUCGAUUGUUCCAGCAUCCGUCGACAACAAUUUUGAAAGGUGCUGGUAUGGUUCUGAAGGCGAUAAUCGAGAACUUCACUUUAGGAAGCUGAUGAAGAAACCGCGGCAA